UACGGAGGGUGCAAGCGUUAAUCGGAAUUACUGGGCGUAAAGCGCACGCAGGCGGUUUGUUAAGUCAGAUGUGAAAGCCCCGGGCUCAACCUGGGAACUGCAUCUGAUACUGGCAAACUUGAGUCCUGGAGAGGGGGGUAGAAUUCCAGGUGUAGAGGUGAAAUGCGUAGAGAUCCGGAGGAAUACCGGUGGCGAAGGCGGCCCACUGGACGAAGACUGACGCUCAGGUGCGAAAGCGUGGGGAGCAAACAGG
rnacentral:rRNA from 1 species